UAGGGAAUCUUCCACAAUGGACGCAAGUCUGAUGGAGCAACGCCGCGUGAGUGAAGAAGGUUUUCGGAUCGUAAAGCUCUGUUGUUGGUGAAGAAGGAUAGAGGUAGUAACUGUCCUUUAUUUGACGGUAAUCAACCAGAAAGUCACGGCUAACUACGUGCCAGCAGCCGCGGUAAUACGUAGGUGGCAAGCGUUGUCCGGAUUUAUUUGGCGUAAAGCGAGCGCAGGCGGAAGAAUAAGUCUGAUGUGAAAGCCCUCGGCUUAACCGAGGAACUGCAUCGGAAACUGUUUUUCUUGAGUGCAGAAGAGGAGAGUGGAAUUCCAUGUGUAGCGGUGGAAUGCGUAGAUAUGUGGAAGAACACCAGUGGCGAAGGCGACGCUCUGGUCUGCAACUGACGCUGAGGCUCGAAAGCAUGGGUAGCGAACAGG
rnacentral:rRNA from 1 species